GGCAAUAGAAGAGGCCUGCUAUUCCCAGGUUUGUAUCUGUUUUUUUUAGUGUGAAUAGCAUAGCAGUAUGUAACUUGAAAUUUGAUUCAAGGUGAUCCCAACUAAAGACAGACUGGAAGGUUUGGCUGCCUUCAGAGAGAAGAGGUCUCCUCACUACAAAGGGGAGUGAGGUACCACUCCUUCAGUGCGCACUCUGAGUCGUGCCUAUGUGCUCACCCCAUGUACCUCCAGAGAUAGUUAGGGUGACACGGCACAUGACAAUAACAUAACAGGUACACUAACCAGGUGAAGUCUGCAGAAUCAGGACUUUGGCUAUGGCAUGGGGUUUAGUCCAGUAAAGGUUUGAAGGCUGAUGGACUGUAUGUAGAACUAAUCAGUGCAGUACACUAUUAAUAAACUGCUGUACAUUUAGUCAUUAACAAUAAUUACUGCAAAUUAUAACCUGCAUCUGUGGGUUACUCAGCAUGAGGCAACACACUCAUCUUUAUAGUUUGACCCAAUAUAACAGUAGUCUCUGCAUGGAUCAUAGAUAUUCAGAAACAUGACUCCUUGUUACCCAAUAACAUAUCAUAAAAUGUACACACAUGUCUAAUGGCAGACAGAUCUAUAAUGAUCCAUAAUGUUAAUUCAAACAUUUUAUUGUCAUGGUCCAUAUUACUUGCAGCGCUGUUUUGUAUUGUCAAGACCUACUUGUCUGUCACCCAUAUGUUUGCGUUUUCUUACAGAUUUCCAAAUAAAGGCUUACACUAUGUAAGCACCUGUGCCUUCAGCAGCCAUUUUAUUUCAUACAUUACAGUUACAUUUAAGCAGUUCAAAUCCUAUAGGAUUUGCUGCUGUUGUGUCUAAUGUUCUGUUCUGAAUUAUUUUUACUUUGUUUACACACAGUCCUAUUGCAUAACUUUAAGAAUUACAUUAAUAAUUCCACUUGUGCAAUGUCAAUAAAACACAUGAUCGACAUUAUUUUAUCAGAAAUACUAAAUAUGCAUGCAGCAGUACACCUGGCCCAUGUCAGUGAACUCCCAUAAAGUGUCCUCUAAUUGCAUUUGUACCCUUGUCUCCCAUUUACUGAAUCUGUUUAGGUCCCUUCCUUCACUCAUCUCACUUGUAGUCAGUGAAAUAUGUUCGGUCGAUUAUCCUCCUUUAAAGCAAUGGGAUGUCUUGAGUUAAAUUGCAAUGCAAUAUUACUGUCUUGAUAUGUGAAAGGAUCAAGCCUCAAACAUUUGAUUUAGUCUGUUUCUGUGUCAAGAGUUCAAAUAAAACCAAACACUGACACAACUGUGUCAUUGUCAUCUGUUGAGAAUCAUAGUUCAUCUGAAAAUGCCUAAGGAUUAU
ensembl:lncRNA